rfam:Salinispira pacifica strain L21-RPul-D2, complete genome.
CGGGGUGUAGCCUAGUGGCUAAGGCGUCUGCUUUGGGAGCAGAAGAUCGCUGGUUCGAGUCCAGUCACCCCGA